UACGUAGGUGACCAGCGUUGUCCGGAUUUACUGGGCGUAAAGAGCGCGCAGGCGGUCGUUCAAGUCGAGUGUGAAAGCCCCCGGCUCAACUGGGGAGGGUCACUCGAUACUGAUCGACUGGAAGGCAGGAGAGGGAAGCGGAAUUCCCGGUGUAGUGGUGAAAUGCGUAGAUAUCGGGAGGAACACCAGUGGCGAAGGCGGCUUCCUGGCCUGUUCUUGACGCUGAGGCGCGAAGGCUAGGGGAGCAAACGGG
rnacentral:rRNA from 1 species